UAGGCUGUUUAUUAAGUUGGGGGUGAAAUCUCCGGGCUCAACCCGGAGCUCGUUCUCAAAACUGGUAGACUUGAGUAAGGUAGAGGCUGACGGAAUUCUGCAAGUAGGGGUAAAAUCCGUUGAUCUGCAGAGGAACACCAAAAGCGAAGGCAGUCAGCUGGGCCUUUACUGACGCUGAGGGACGAAAGCGUGGGUAGCGAACGGGAUUAGAUACCCCGGUAGUCCACGCCGUAAAUGAUGGAUACUGGACAUUGGUACUCGAUCGUAUCAGUGUCUCAAGCUAACGCAUUAAGUAUCCCGCCUGGGGAGUACGGUCGCAAGAUUAAAACUCAAAGGAAUAGACGGGGACCCACACAAGCGGUGGAGCAUGUGGUUUAAUUCGACAAUAAGCGAGGAACCUUACCAGGGCUUGACAUCCCGAGAAUUCUUUAGAAAUAGAGAAGUGCCUUUAUGGAACUCGGUGACAGGUGCUGCAUGGUUGUCGUCAGCUCGUGCCUUGAGGUGUUCGGUUAAGUCCGUAAACGAGCGCAACCCUAGUCCUAUGUUGUAUAUUUCAUAGGAGACUGCCUUGUCCAACGAGGAGGAAGGUUAGGAUGACGUCAAAUCAGCAUGGCCCUUAUGUCUUGGGCGACACACGUGCUACAAUGGUCGGUACAAUGGGUAGCCAACCCGCGAGGGGGAGCCAAUCCCAUCAAAGCCGGUCCAAGUUCGGAUUGGAGGCUGCAACUCGC
rnacentral:rRNA from 1 species